rnacentral:lncRNA from 10 species
GCUUGGUGUCUGGGAGGUCAUGAGGAAAGGCUUCACUGUUACUCUCAGGGUCAACCUGGUGUGAUGCACACACCAAUUCAGCAGCCAAGUUUAUCUAGGAUAUGUCAAUCUCACAAGUUAUAGAAACUUCCAAGAAGUAGCAACAGGACCCAGGAGCUCACAGCUGGGUUUUCACUUAAUCCUUGUACAGUGUUGCCUCAGCUUCUCAAAGUUUCUGGUGUUUAUGAAGAUCCAUAACAGCUGGCUGCAAACCCAACUCCUGAGAAUCAUUUCUGGGAGAAUGCCGAAGACUGCAUUUCAACUUCAAGAAUGGCCUUUUAAAGGACCAUGGGCUGUUUGAGGGGCCAACAUCAUUAACUGGAAGGCCUGAGGAGAGAAGACACAUAGUCAUGCUGACUAAACCAGAUCACCUAGAAUUACCAAAUGGAAAGAUUGUGCCUGCAGCCUGGCCUGUUGCCCACAGCGGUCUACCUGCCACACUGGGAAAGAUCGAGCAGAGACAGAGAAGAAAAGGAGGCUCCAUUUUUCAGGCUGCUCUCCCGCAGGCUCAUGUUUUGUGUUCAUGCCAGGCAGAGAACACAAAAUGUUCCAAUAAAUAAGUAUCAAAGGUUAGUGGUGAAAAUGAAGGAGGAGGAGGCAUUGCGUGAAAAACUAAACAUGCAAAAUAUUACACACAAAGAGAACCAAAAUGCAGGUUCACUGGAAAUGAUAGACAAUAUGUUAAAACAAGAGGAGAGAAGAGAGCUGAAAUAAUCAAAUGGAAACACACAAUUUAGGGCUAAGAUCUUGUUGUGUUCAGCCACAAAUGAUGGCCAGCAGUGAGGAAUCUGUGUGUUCUCCACACUCUUCGCUCCUGGGAAGUCAACUCACAUGGACCAUGAUAUCAAUAUCUGCUCCUUCCCCUAAUAUCUGUUUGACCUUGGGUCAGUUACUUAAACUUCCUAAGCCUUAGUUUCUUUGUCUGGAAAAUAGGGAUAGUUAUACCUACCACACAACCACUUUGUAAUGAAUAUGUUGGAAAUUAUAUGCAAAUUGGCUUCCGUUGGUGUUUGGAACAUAGUAGGUUUUUAACUGGAAUAUAAUAGCUACCAUUAUCAGUAUCAUCAUAUUAAUUUAUAUUUCCAUCUUCAGCCCUUAACCCAGGAUCUUCAGUAAAUGUUGAAUUCUCAAAUUUGUUAAAUUCACUUGUCUAUACUAAUAUUUUACUCUAGGUUUCUUAGAAUAUUCUAGAUAAUAUUAUUAUGUAGAAUAUGUUAUGUAAGCUUCAUCUUAUCUGUAAAUAUAGUUUUACUUUUUCCUUUCUAAUUUUUAUGUCGAUUACUUCUUUUUCUUGGCUUAUUGAAUUGGCUAGGAUUCCCGUACAGUGUUGAAUACGUGCAGCAAGACUGCACAUCUUGCCUUGUUCCUGGUCCCACAGAGAGAAUAUCCAGUACUUCACAAUAAGUAUGUGUUAAUUGUAGAUUUUAUUAGAUUGAGGAAGUUCCCUUUCCUUUCAAGUCAGUCUUUUUAUUUUAAACAUGUAUUGAAGUUUUGUCAAAUGUCUUCAUCUAUUGGAAUAAUUAUACAUAUCUCUUUUUUAUUCUGUUAAUAUUACAUUUCAAUCUUCUGUCUACCUAAAAUCCCUAGAAUAAUCUCCAUUUGGCUAUGAUGUGUUGUGCUUUUAUAUAUUACUGAAUUCUAUAUGCCAAUAUUAUUAAAAUUUUCUGUCUUUAUGAGAA